GAGGAAUAUUGGGCAAUGCCCGCAAGGGUGACCCAGCAACGCCGCGUGGAGGAUGAAUGUCGUAAGAUUGUAAACUCCUGUUAGAGGGGAAGAAUAGUACCGGUUGGACCGGUAUAUGACUGUACCCUCAGAGAAAGCCCCGGCUAACUACGUGCCAGCAGCCGCGGUAAUACGUAGGGGGCAAGCGUUGUCCGGAUUUACUGGGUGUAAAGGGCGCGCAGGCGGGAUAAAAAGUCAGUGGCGAAAUCCUACAGCUUAACUGUAGAGCUGCCUUUGAUACUUUUAUUCUUGAGUUCGGGAGAGAGAGACGGAAUUCCAGGUGUAGUGGUGAAAUACGUAGAUAUCUGGAAGAACACCAGUUGCGAAGGCGGUCUCUUGAUCCGACACUGACGCUGAGGCGCGAAAGCGUGGGGAGCAAACA
rnacentral:rRNA from 1 species